GACGAACGCUGGCGGCGCGCCUAACACAUGCAAGUCGAACGAGCGAGAGAGAGCUUGCUUUCUUGAGCGAGUGGCGAACGGGUGAGUAACGCGUGAGGAACCUGCCUCAAAGAGGGGGACAACAGUUGGAAACGACUGCUAAUACCGCAUAAGCCCACGGUGCCGCAUGGCACCGAGGGAAAAGGAGCAAUCCGCUUUGAGAUGGCCUCGCGUCCGAUUAGCUAGUUGGUGAGGUAACGGCCCACCAAGGCGACGAUCGGUAGCCGGACUGAGAGGUUGAACGGCCACAUUGGGACUGAGACACGGCCCAGACUCCUACGGGAGGCAGCAGUGGGGAAUAUUGCACAAUGGGGGAAACCCUGAUGCAGCGACGCCGCGGGGAGGAAGAAGGUCUUCGGAUUGUAAACUCCGGUUGUUGGGGAAGAUAAUGACGGUACCCAACAAGGAAGUGACGGCUAACUACGUG
rnacentral:rRNA from 1 species